ACUCCUACGGGAGGCAGCAGUGGGGAAUUUUCCGCAAUGGGCGAAAGCCUGACGGAGCAAUGCCGCGUGGAGGUGGAAGGCCUACGGGUCGUCAACUUCUUUUCUCGGAGAAGAAACAAUGACGCCCCUCUGAGGAAUAAGCAUCGGCUAACUCUGUGCCAGCAGCCGCGGUAAUA
rnacentral:rRNA from 1 species